UGCCAGCCGCCGCGGUAAUACGAAGGGUGCGAACGUUAAUCGGAAUUACUGGGCGUAAAGCGCGCGUAGGUGGUUUGAUAAGUGGGAUGUGAAAGCCCCGGGCUCAACCUGGGAACUGCAUUCCAAACUGUCAAGCUAGAGUACGGUAGAGGGAGGUAGAAUUUCCUGUGUAGCGGUGAAAUGCGUAGAUAUAGGAAGGAAUACCGGUGGCGAAGGCGGCCUCCUGGACCAAUACUGACACUGAGGUGCGAAAGCUAGGGUAGCGAACGGGAUUAGAUA
rnacentral:rRNA from 1 species